rnacentral:rRNA from 1 species
AACGUAGGUUCCGAGCGUUAUCCGGAUUUACUGGGCGUAAAGCGCGUUCAGGCGGUUUGGCAAGUCGGGCAUGAAAUCUCUCGGCUCAACCGGGAGAGGUUGUCCGAUACUGCUGGACUUGAGGGCAGUAGAGGGUGGUGGAAUUCCGGGUGUAGUGGUGAAAUGCGUAGAUAUCCGGAGGAACACCAGUGGCGAAAGCGGCCACCUGGACUGCACCUGACGCUGAAACGCGAAAGCUAGGGGAGCAAACAGG